rnacentral:rRNA from 1 species
UACAGAGGGGGCAAGCGUUGUUCGGAAUUACGUGGGCGUAAAGGGCGCGUAGGCGGCCUUCUAAGUCGAACGUGGAAAUCCCCGGGCUACAACCCGGGGACUGCGUCCGAUACUGGCGGGCUUGAAGUCCGGGAGAGGGAUGGCGGAAUUCCAGGGUGUAGCGGAUGAAAUGGCGUAGAUAUCUGGAGGAACACCGGUGGCGAAGGCGGACAUCCGUGGGACCGGCAAUUGACGCCUGGAGGCGCGAAAGCCAGGGGAG